AAAUGAGGAUGAUUAGGAUAGGAGUAGAUUUUGUAGGAUAAUCAGGAGUUUGGUUUUGGGCAUGUUAGUUUGAGAUGCUUAUUAGAGAGUCAAGUAUAGAUACAGAGUAGGCAGUUGGAUAUACUAGUCUGAUGUUUCCAGGAGAUGCUCAGGCUAGACAUAUGUAAAUUUGGAAAUCAUCAGGGUAAAGAUGUUUUUGAAGCCUUGGGAGGGAUUAGAUCAUCAAAGUAGUGAGUGCGACAAGAGAAGAAAAGUCCACCAAUAGAGUCCAGGGGAACUGCAAUGUUCCAAGAAAUCAGAAAAGGAAAAUCCAGUGAGAUAGGAAGAAAACUUGGGCAUUGUGGAGUUGUGGGACCAAGUGAAGAAAAGUGCUCAAGGGAAUAGGACCCUACAUCUGCCUUAGGAGAUGAGGACAAGAAUAAGAUUGUUCAGUGCUGAGUCAGUGAGAGGCUGCUUUUUGAACACCAUUCGUA
rnacentral:lncRNA from 1 species